UAAAAAAAAAAAAAUAGAAAAAACAGAAGGAAAUAGGAGUCUCUACUAAAACCCUGAAAAGAGAUCAGUUCAUCGCGAGAGAGAUGGGGAAGAAGAAUAAGAGAAGAGACGAAGACGCCGAAUCUCCUCAGCUCAACCCUAACGAUGGAAACGGUGACGACUCUGAUAAUGCGAAGAAGCUCAAGAAGAAGAAGAAGAAGAAUAAGAAGAACGAGAAACCAAAAGAGAGGGCCACAGUGAGCAUAGCUGUGCCUGCUUCCAUCAUUGACAACGUUCCAACCCUUGACCUCGCCACUCGGCUGGCUGGUCAAAUCGCUCGUGCUGCAACUAUUUUCUGUAUCGACGAGGUUGUUGUGUUUGAUAAUAAUGGGGAGCCAAAUAGGGACCCCGUGAUGGAGAAUUCAGAUGAUGAAAGUGGUGCAGCUUUUCUCAUCCGAAUCCUGCGAUAUCUUGAGACGCCUCAGUAUCUGAGGAAGGCUUUGUUCCCUAUGCAUAACAGCCUCAGAUUUGUGGGCCUGUUGCCACCCCUUGAUCCCCCGCACCAUUUGCGCAAACAUGAGUGGGGUCCAUAUAGGGAAGGUGUCACAAUAAAUGGUAAUUCAAACUCAACGGGAACACUAGUUGAUGUUGGUUUAGCUAAGCAUGUUGUAGUUGACCAACUACUGGAACCAGGAAGAAGAGUCACGGUAGCCAUGGGUGCCGAGCGCAAUUUGGAUUCUGAUUUACCACGCCAGGUUGUGUCGUCAUCCAAGCCUAGGGAAGAAGGUGAAUAUUGGGGAUAUCAAGUGCGCUAUGCACGUAAUAUUAGCUCAGUAUUUAAGGAUUGCAUGCACAAGGGUGGCUAUGAUUAUAUAAUAGGUACCUCUGAGCAUGGUCAAAUUAUUAAGUCUCAUGAGCUUGAAAUACCUUCUUUCAGACAUUUGUUGAUUGCCUUUGGUGGAUUGGCUGGGCUGGAAGAGAGUAUUGAAGAAGAUGAUAACUUGAAGGGGAAAAAUGCAGGGGAUGCAUUUAAUGUAUACUUAAAUACAUGUCCACAUCAGGGAAGUAGGACAAUUCGAACUGAGGAAGCAAUUCUUAUCUCUCUUCAAUACUUCCAAGAACCAAUUAGUAGAGCAUUGCAGAGUUAAAUAUUGUGGCGUCUAGAAUUCAUGUAGCGCGAUCAACAGCGACAGUUGCUUCCACAUCAGUAUUUUUAUGUUUUCAGCUCAUCCUUCAGACUGUGGCUGCAAUGUUGCAAGAUAGAAUGAAUACUCAAGACACUCACUAUAAUAGCUAUACUUUCUGUUAACGUUAGUUACACAACCUGUCCUUCUAUAAAGUAAUUGAGAAUGCUAUUCAAUCAAUAACAUUGAAGAAAUGUAUGUAUAAGUAUAGCUGUGUACUGUAUUACUAUUAUCAUUUUAAGAUUUUCUUGUUUUAGAGCUUUUUAAUGAUAUUUUAAACCUU